rnacentral:tRNA from 1 species
CCCUGGUGGCUCAGAUGGUAAAGCGUCUGCCUACAAUGCAGGAGACCCAGGUUCGAUCCCUGGGUCAGGCA